UAGAGAGUGGGUGGAGAAGCAUUUCAGUAGAUGAGAGCAGGUGUGUAGUUGUUUUGCCGAACCUGCAGAGCUACCCUAAACUUUUGACGAUUGGUAAGCAGGGAAAUACAGCUACCAGCAGAUGGAUGACUGAUCCUGAAAAAGAAUCCAUGAGGAAGAGGCACGCCAUGCAAUGCCAGCCAUGCCAUGCCAUGGGGAGGCUACAAGGGCUGCUCGGAGCAUUUGGGCACAAGGCCACAGAGACUCGACCCCCGGUUUGCGGAUUCCAUUUGGUCUGGAAAUGGCAGGCAGAGCCCCGACUUGAGGGAUCUGGGCAGUGUUUGACUGUCGGUCCACUGGAGAUGGAGUCCUCCCUCUGCAGAGCAGGGGGACUCCAGUAUUAACAUUCAGCAUGAGUCACUGCUGCCGUUUUCCCCCGAGAACCUUCCCCUUCUUCCUGAGUCUCCAUCCAGCCCUCUGAGCCAGAAUGAGGCAGACUGAGGAUCUGACGCCAAGUAGGCCCAGGAUGGUAAGGGACAGGAUCCUUGCCAAGGCCCGUGGUUGGACCCCACCACUCGGAAGCAGCCAGAUUCCUUACAGGGGUUAGAAAUGAGAACGAGGAGCCAUUCUGACUUCAGUUUUGACAAAUUUUUGUAAAGGAGCAAUUAGCGAGGGCUUACCAUAUGCCACACUCUUUGCAAAGACUUCACAGUGUUAAUUUUAGCCUCCCAACAGCCAUAUGAAGGAAGAACUAUUAUUAUCAUCCGUAUUUAAAAGCGCGUGUCAGAGAUUGUGUCUUGAUCCCUGACAUUCUCAGCUCUCCCUGCAGAAGCUGGAAGCUUGGAAACUACAUUUCCCAAAUUCUAUUGCCAGUGCCACUCCAGUUUAGAUAUCACCAAUGAGAGAAGCACACAUGAAAUUUGGCAGAAGAGAGGCCAUUAUUUGCAAGGUGCAGUCAUGAGGAUGGGCACAGAUAUCUCCAAAGAACAGACCAAGACUCUGCCAGCUCUUUCUGACAAUUGUGGACGGUCCUGCCUCAGGCAAAGUCACCAGCAAUGAUUUUUAGCAAUUUCUGUAACUUCUUGGUAUCCUGAAAAGCAGUGGUGCUUUUCCCCGACCUUCCCUCAGACAGCCUUUCUAAUGAUUCUAGAAGCAUCAAUUCCCUUUGUAAAAUCCACCCUCCUGCUUGAAACACCUUGAACACCUCUGUUUCCGUGACUGAACUCCAGAUAACACAGCAGUGGGUUCCAAAAUUGUUUUCAGGAACCAAAACCUCAGUGAGGAUGAGAAUCUGGAAUGGUUAACUGUCCUGGCCAGAUUUAGAGUUAGAGCUGGCCUCACGGGGAGUGGGGAAUGGGUGAGUGCCCACGGGUUGUAGUUGGCAUUUACUUAAAUUAUGGCUAGUAUUUGCCUAUGGAGAAAUGUCCACUGUAGGAAGGCUUUGGGACCCUAGGUGGCUGUGGCGGUGGACUAUUCUGGUGAAGACGAUAAAGUGUGGUACUCUGGCUGCUUCAGGCUGCACUUGAGAGCUCAUGGAAAGAACAGGAUGUAAGGUCACGACUUGGAUUUCCUGGACUGAGCUGAGAGAGGCAGAGAACUUCUAAGACUAAUUUAAAAUAAUCUGUAUCUUGUAGCUGCAUUCAAAUACCAAACAAAAGGGGCCCAGCUUUACCAGUGGAGCUGGAGCCCAGAAAUCAUGUGCACAUGGGACUGCCCUCAGCGAGCUCAUCCACUCACACUGUUGCAGACACUGUGUCGGGUCUACUGCCCUCUGGUUCUUACCCGAGAUACUGCUGGCAGGCUGAUGUGAGUCUUCCAUAUUCUGAGGGACCUCAUAUUUGGACCUCAGAAACUUCCUGGCUAUGGUCACACUGCACAGGAGCUUGCCCUGCUGUUGAGAUCCUCUGCCUCCUUCUCUGUCCUUCACCCUCAGGGCCAGGACCCAGCCCUUGGGGCUGCCAGGUCUCCACGCACUCGCCUCAUCCCCACCCAGGCUCUGUCCUCUCUGAGAGUGACCUCCUCACACACUACUCACCCUAUUUCUCUUUCAUAAAUGGCCAUCCUCCUUGUAUGACCAAGGAUAGCCUUCCUGAGGCCCUGGGAUUCAUAGCUACUGACUCCAGAUGCUUCUUCAGAGAGGUCAGUACCAGUGGGCACGACUGCCCAGGCUCCCUCCUCGUCCUACCACUGCUAGGCAACAUCCCUUUGGGGGAGUAGUGGGAAGGGGACUGUAGGGUCCCAGGCAGUACCCAGCCUCUGCCACAAGAUGGCAGACAUUUCACUUUUAUUUGAGAGGAAACAACAGGAAUAAACAGUGGUGAAAAGCCACACAGGAGACAGCUCCAGGCUGCCCUCCUGCACCUCCUGUUAUGCUGGGACAUUCUCGCUCCUUCUUGUUGGGGUGGGAGACACCUGCUGUAACCAUGGGGCCAGGAGUCAGUAUCGCCUGCUCUGUACCGGGCUGACCCAUGUCUAGGCUGAGGCCAUCCCUAAGCACAGGGCUGUGGCUGUCCUUAACCCUUGUUCUAAAACUGGGGAGUGGGGACAAAAACACAGGAAAGAAACUAGAUAAAAAAGCAGAGGGAGCAGGAACCCAAAAAUCCUAACCAGUGUCUGGUUUUCCUUCUUCCUCACAUCCCCCACCUCUGCUUUCUUUCUUUUCUUUUCUUUCUUUCUUUUUUUUUUUUUUUAAGAUUUUAUUUAUUCAUCUGACAGACAGAGAUCACACGUAGGCAGAGAGGCAGGAGGCGAGAGACGAAGGGAAUCAGGCUCCCUGCCGAGCAGAGAGCCCGAUGCGGGACUCCAUCCCAGGACCCUGAGAUCAUGACCUGAGCCGAAGGCAGAUGUUUUAACCCACUGAGCCACCCAGGCACCCCUCCCACCUCUACUUUCUUGCACACAAGGCUGUGGAGGCAGGCCAGUCUCCUCAGCUCUCCCAGGCCUGUCUCCUGGAGAGGUCUCACCAGACCACAGGUUUUGACGCAGUUCUGGGGGUCCCUGGGGUCCAUCUGUUUCAGACCCGGUUGGUGCUGGUCGGCUUUGUCGGUCCUCUUUGCUCUUUCAUUCCAGCCCUUCCACUCCACUGUUUAAACCGCAGGGUUACAGAGAACAGGACUAAGGACGAGGAGUGAUUAUUGCUCCUAGAAGCUGGGAGAGCAUGUGCUAUAAUGGCACCUCCUCAAACCAGGCAGCGAGGCCUUCCCUGAUCUCUGAGGAGAGCCCACCAGGCCUUAUGUGCUGGGUUCCUUCCACCUCCUCAGCCUCAUGUCCCUCAUCUUUUUCUAACUCUCUGAUUUCCCUUCCUCUCUGAGAACUGUUUCUGUGGGUCACAUUAAAGUUUUACAUUUCCUGAACAUUCCAUUCCCUUGCACACAACCUUCUUGGAAUGUUCUUUCUUCUCUGCCCUAUCACAUGAGCUCCUACCCAUCUCUCAGCACCGAGAUCAAAUGUCUCCACCUCCGUAAAGCCGCUCCUGACUCCAGCUUCUUGGAUCCCACAGAGGGACUGUCCCUUUUGGCACUUAAGACAUUGCACAAUUGUCCUUUGCUUCUCUACGCCACUCCCUCUCUCUUCUGGCAAUACACAUACCAGACUGUGUGCCCCUUGAGAGUACGGACCGUCUUGUUCCUCUACCUCAUUUCAGUGCUUCAUGCAAAAUAAAUGAAUGAAUGAAUUUAAAAAAAAAAACAACUGCUGAGUCUUGGGGAUCUCUUGGGGAUACUCUUCACCUUA